rnacentral:rRNA from 1 species
CAGUAGCCGCGGUAAUACGGAGGGUGCAAGCGUUAUCCGGAUUCACUGGGUUUAAAGGGUGCGUAGGCGGAUCUGUAAGUCCGUUGUGAAAUCUCCAGGCUUAACCUGGAAACUGCCGUUGAUACUAUAGGUCUUGAAUUUUGUGGAGGUUAGCGGAAUAUGUCAUGUAGCGGUGAAAUGCAUAGAUAUGACAUAGAACACCAAUUGCGAAGGCAGCUGGCUACACAACUAUUGACGCUGAGGCACGAAAGCGUGGGGAUCAAACAGGAUUAGAUACCCCAGUAGUCCCUGUCUCUUAUAC